GACGGACGCUGGCGGCGUGCUUAACACAUGCAAGUCGAACGGAAAGGCCCUAGCUUUCUGGGGUACUCGAGUGGCGAACGGGUGAGUAACACGUGGGUGACCUGCCCUGCACUCUGGGAUAACCCCGGGAAACUGGGUCUAAUACCGGAUAGGACCGUGCCCUAGUGUGUGCGGUGGAGAGUUUUUCGGUGCAGGAUGAGCCCGCGGCCUAUCAGCUUGUUGGUGGGGUAAUGGCCUACCAAGGCGGCGACGGGUAGCCGGCCUGAGAGGGUGUACGGCCACAUUGGGACUGAGACACGGCCCAGACUCCUACGGGAGGCAGCAGUGGGGAAUAUUGCACAAUGGGCGGAAGCCUGAUGCAGCGACGCCGCGUGGGGGAUGACGGCCUUCGGGUUGUAAACCCCUUUCGGCAGGGACGAAGCGUUUGUGACGGUACCUGCAUAAGAAGCACCGGCUAACUACGUG
rnacentral:rRNA from 1 species